UCAACUCCUAGUCAACGCUCUACUUCAAAAAUAUCUAUCUGGGGUUGGGGAUUUAGCUCAAUGGUAGAGCGCUUGCCUAGCAAGCGCAAAGCCCUGGGUUCGGUCCCCAGCUCCAAAAAAAAAAAAAAAAAAUCUGUCUGUCUGUCUGUCUGUCUAUCUAUCUAUCUAUCUAUCUAUCUAUCUUUCGGAGAUAUAAUUGAGAUAUGAUUGGCUCUCAUUAUGUAGCCCAGGAUAGCCUACUGGCCUAGAACUCUCUGUAGGGAUCCGUUGGCCUUGGGCUCAUAGGGAUCUGCUUGCCCCUGCCUUGCUGCUGCCUAUUUUUUUUUUUUUUUUUUUCUUUUAAACGUACUGGGGAUUGAACCUAGAGACUCAAACAUGUAAAAAAAAAAAAAAACAAAAACAAAACAAAAAAAAAAAA
rnacentral:lncRNA from 1 species